GGGGAUGUGGUGUAAUUGGCAGCCACCCAAGUUUCAAACGCUUGUGUCGAAAGACGUCUCGGUUCGAGUCCGAGUAUCCCUA
rnacentral:tRNA from 2 species